AGUGAACGCUGGCGGCAGGCCUAACACAUGCAAGUCGAGCGCACCUUCGGGUGAGCGGCGGACGGGUUAGUAACGCGUGGGAACACACCCUUUUCUACGGAAUAGCCUCGGGAAACUGAGAGUAAUACCGUAUACGCCCUUCGGGGGAAAGAUUUAUCGGUGAAGGAUUGGCCCGCGUUGGAUUAGGUAGUUGGUGGGGUAAUGGCCUACCAAGCCGACGAUCCAUAGCUGGUUUGAGAGGAUGAUCAGCAACACUGGGACUGAGACACGGCCCAG
rnacentral:rRNA from 1 species